CUCUAUUUGGAAUGUCUCUUAAGAUCAAUACUCACCAGUUUUAAUGGUCUUCUUGCUCAUUCAAGACCUCAAGGGAAGAAUUCAGUUAUGGGGACAUGGUAUUGCAGUAGACUGGGCAGAGCCAGAAGUAGAAGUUGAUGAAGAUACAAUGUCUUCAGUGAAAAUCCUAUAUGUAAGAAAUCUUAUGCUGUCUACCUCUGAAGAGAUGAUUGAAAAGGAAUUCAACAAUAUCAAACCAGGUGCUGUGGAGAGGGUGAAGAAAAUUCGAGACUAUGCUUUUGUGCACUUCAGUAACCGAGAAGAUGCAGUUGAGGCUAUGAAAGCUUUAAAUGGCAAGGUGCUGGAUGGUUCCCCCAUUGAAGUCACCCUAGCAAAACCAGUGGACAAGGACAGUUAUGUUAGGUAUACCCGAGGCACAGGUGGAAGGGGCACCAUGCUGCAAGGAGAGUAUACCUACUCUUUGGGCCAAGUUUAUGAUCCUACCACAACCUACCUUGGAGCUCCUGUCUUCUAUGCCCCCCAGACCUAUGCAGCAAUUCCCAAUCUUCAUUUCCCAGACACCAAAGGACAUCUCAGCAACAGAGCCAUUAUCCGAGCCCCUUCUGUUAGAGGGGCUGCGGGAGUGAGAGGACUGGGCGGCCGUGGCUAUUUGGCAUACACAGGCCUGGGUCGAGGAUACCAGGUCAAAGGAGACAAAAGAGAAGACAAACUCUAUGACAUUUUACCUGGGAUGGAGCUCACCCCAAUGAAUCCUGUCACGUUAAAACCCCAAGGAAUUAAACUCGCUCCCCAGAUAUUAGAAGAGAUUUGUCAGAAAAAUAACUGGGGACAGCCAGUGUACCAGCUGCACUCUGCUAUUGGACAAGACCAAAGACAGCUAUUCUUGUACAAAAUAACUAUUCCUGCUCUAGCCAGCCAGAAUCCUG
rnacentral:sRNA from 1 species